UACAGACCUUGUUAUUACUCCCGGCUCCCCCAGGGCUGGGCAGCCUGAACCAGGUGCUGGGAUCCUGCAGUUAUUACAAGGGCAGCUGUGGCUCCAGCCCCAGAACUUCUCCUGUUCAAGAGCACUCAUGAGGGUGCAGGAAGAGAGUGAACAGUGACUGUUGGUCAGGCCAAGCGGAGGUGUGGGCAGCAGAUGCCCUGUGCAUGCUGACUCACACAAGCAGCUUCCGGGCCCCAGGAUCUGCCAGGGUCUCUGCUGGCUUUCCUCAGGAUGGCAGGGCAGCAGGACAUGGUAGAGGCGGCAGUGUCCCCAGGCAGAGAAUGGGCAUUGCUCCUGGUGUCUCCUUAAAGGCCUCACUUCUGAGCCUCCAUAAAAGAAAAAAUGCCCGUGCUGGGCAGCCGUGUCCCAGGGAUGCCUGGUCAGGGUCCUCCUCUCGCCACACCCUCCCUGGGUCCCCUCAGCACCCAGUACAGGAUGUGCCGGACACUGAGAAGCAGCUAUGAUGGAGGGGCGGCAGGCUUGGUCACAGCCGGGCGUGGAGAGUCAGGCAUCUUUAAAAAACAGGGUCUAGGAAGACUCUAAUGGCAAG
rnacentral:lncRNA from 1 species